GGAUGAAGAACGUAGCGAAAUGCGAUAAGUAAUGCGAAUUGCAGAAUUCAGUGAAUCAUCGAAUCUUUGAACGCACAUUGCGCCCGCUAGUAUUCUGGCGGGCAUGCCUGUCUGAGCGUCAUUUCAACCCUCGCCCCCGGCUUUUGCUGGGAGCGGUGUUGGGGAUCGGCCGCCCGUCACUGGGAGGCCGGCCCCGAAAUAGAGUGGCGACCACGCCGUGUGCUCCUCUGCGUAGUAGUAAAUCACCUCGCAGGCGGACAGCGGUGCGGCCUGCCGUAAAACCCCCAACUCUUUCUGGUUGACCUCAGAUCAGGUAGGAAUACCCGCUGAACUUAAGCAUAUCAAUAAGCGGAGGA
rnacentral:misc_RNA from 1 species